rnacentral:lncRNA from 1 species
AUAGACAGUCAACCCUAAAAUUAGUAUUUAUUUUUAUGCCAAACAAAAAACAGAAAGUUAUUUUAUGAUUCUAUUCUUCGGAUGUCUACACUUAUAAGAAAUAAAUCUAAAAGGUGUUGACUUCCUAGGAAGUCUACGUCAUAAUUUGAUAUAAUAAUUUUAUUUUAAAAAUGUAUGAAAAUAAUUUGUGCAAAAUUUAUUAUAAAUCAA